rnacentral:rRNA from 1 species
AUACGUAGGGUGCAAGCGUUAAUCGGAAUUACUGGGCGUAAAGCGUGCGCAGGCGGUGAUGUAAGACAGAUGUGAAAUCCCCGGGCUCAACCUGGGAACUGCAUUUGUGACUGCAUCGCUGGAGUGCGGCAGAGGGGGAUGGAAUUCCGCGUGUAGCAGUGAAAUGCGUAGAUAUGCGGAGGAACACCGAUGGCGAAGGCAAUCCCCUGGGCCUGCACUGACGCUCAUGCACGAAAGCGUGGGGAGCGAACAG